UUAAUUUCCAGUUACGUCCAGUUCAGAGUAAAACUUCACUUUGCUCCAAUCAUCCAUCGGUUAAUCUUUACAGUACUGUUUUUUAAUUUCCAGUUACGUCCGUGGCAGCCCGUAAGCUCGUAGUUCGUCUCACCCCCACCCCGAGCGAUCUCCCGAUCUGUCUCUCCGAGCGGACGCGCGCCGGGCGAUGAGAAAAUCAGGCAACAAAAACAGAACCGAUUUUUCCGUCCAGUGAGAUCCUGAUGCCUGAAAGAUUCACCCGCCUCCUCCGCCACCCUUUCCCUGUCUCCGCCGCCGCCCUUCCUCGCCUCCGCCGCUGCCGUUGUCGUUUCCCAUCUCAGCAGCCGCCUCCCUCUAUCCUCGCGUGCUCCGGGGACCCAACCAUCCACCAGGUUCCGCUUAAGGCGCUCCAAUCUCGUUGCGAGGGCCAUGGCCUGACCGAGCAUUUGCCCUAGGGACCGGGACUGAUGGCGGCGGCGGCGGCGCGCGGUCAUGUGGCUCCCUCUUCCUCAGAUACGCGGCAGGCAACAAUGGCGGGAUAGGGAUCGGGGGCUGCUCGCACUCACAGGCGACGGGCGGUGUGAACGCGAUGGCGCAGCACCGGAGGCUGAGCUCGAAGUGGAGAAGAUGUUCUCCAGGCAGCAGGACAUGAUCUGGAGGGGGCGCCCGUGUGAGGGACGCCGAUGAAGGCCAGCAGCCCAGUGGCGCCCCUGCCGAGCGCGUCCUCGACGGUGACGAGAGGCGGCGGCGGCAACCUAUGUCGUUGUCAUCUGCUACUGUUUUGUGUGAGAUGAGGGACGCUGCCCUCCCAUGGCGUCCCCUCCAUAUCCCCUUCCCAUGGAGGCCCCUCCGUAUCCCUCCCCAUGGUCUGCAUACCAGCUCCCAUGCUUUCGAAUAAAAUCCAAGUGUUGAUUGUUUUUGUCCGCUAUUUGCAGCUAUCCGUCAUAUGCUGCUUUACUUUUUUUUUUAUUAAGAUUCAGUAUUUGCUAAAAAUAAGCUUCAGUUGUUCUGAUUGAAAACUGAGAGGUUGCUUUCGUGUUGUAGUCUCAGUUAUAGGUACAGAUUCAGUAUUUUCUAAAAAUAAGCUUCUGUUUUUCUAAUUGAAAAAUUGCACGUAUGGCCGAUUGAAAUAUGGACGGUUGAAAUAUGGGUAUGGGCCAGUGAGUGAUAAUGUGGCAUCUAGGGAAACAAAUUUAAUUUACUUGAACUGAGGUAAUACAUACUCUAAACCUUUUUAACAUUUGGUGUUGUAGACACUAUUACAGUUGUUACUUCUGUACCAGUUAAGGUCUCUGAAGUAUGUUUUUCUACAUGCUUGUAGGUAUCUUGCAGUUUGCACAAGCGAGCUGCUAAAGAGUGCCACUCAAUGUCUAUAUUGAUACACGUUCUUGAGGAUGGUCGUAUCACCCAAGCUGGAAAAUUUGAUGAUCUUCUCCAAGCUGGGAGUUCAUUGUUUGUAUUUGUGGGAAGCCUUCUUGUGGCUACAAAUUAAAUUGUUAAUGGUAAUUCUGAAGCUCUGCAAGCAGCAAACAGAUUCAUGUCAGUGAGACAGUGACAGUUUGCAACAAGGAGUCAUAAACGAUGAUGCAAAAGAUGGAGGCAAUCGAGUGUUGGGAUGGCCGCCGCAACUAUGAUCGGGCCAAGGACCGUGGCUUCACGGAGGUCGAUGCAGCGGCAGGAGCACCGCCAACGGCCGCAGCUCGGAACGACGAUGCAUCUCCUCGCCGGCGUCGUCGUUGGCGCCAUCAGCAGGACCUCUACCGCGCCCCUCACCUGCCUCACCAUCCUAUUCUAGGCACGUCUUAAAUCGAAAGCGGGCUUGCUUCCUCUCCCUUUCAAUGCUGCGCAGAAAGCUUUCUGAUUUUGUUUUUACUUCUCCAUAUUGUCCUAUUGUCUAAUGCUAACUGUGGGAUUUUAGUAGUAAGCAGCGAGUGUAUCUUACUUCAUUGGUUGGGAUGGUUGGGAUGAUCCUGCUUCCCAAUAGUGGAUACAUGAUAAUUUUGAUUCAUUUUUUAGGAGUAAAACAAGUCUUGGCUUGGCGUUAUGGGUAAAACAGGGACAUAUUAGCAUGCCUAUGUUAGUCAAUAAUUCAUGAA